GUCAUUGAUAUGAAUGGAUAGCUUCAGAGUACCAGAUGCGGGAUUGGAACACCACUUUGUACUGCAUAAUUGCCCUAGAAAGUUUUCCUUUAAGAUGAUACAAUGUCAUAUCGCUACAGGAUGUGAACACUCAUAAUGACAGAAAAGCACCAGAACUGAUCUUUGGCACUAGCCUAUGUGCCCCUCUGAUGGUUUCUGAAGCUUUGCUCAGCACUGCAGGACAUCAAGGAAAUGUAUAAUUCAAUAAUUCUUCCCCCAAGUUGCUGCCUAGAACCUUCCUCAGCCCCUCUCUUGCCAGGCUUCCCUUCCUGCUAUUUUUAAGUUUCCUUAAUGCUGGAGAUGGUUGCUGUUUGAGAACAGGUGCAGCAUUAAAGUAUGGAAGAAGUAAAGAGCAUGCAACCAGCUGGUGCCACUUUUGUGAUCAACUCUUGGGGAUGGAUAGGGAAACAGACGCCAGAAGCAACAUCACUCCUCUUCAUUCCACAUCUCUAAUCACCUUCUGAAAGCAAAGUUGCCAUUUUCCAUAAACUGGAGAUCAUUUUGCUGCCCAGUCUCACAGCACAGGCUAUGUCCAAGAAGCAUGAAAAAAAACAUUCCUUUGUGAAAUGGCUGGACAAAGCUCAAAUUGGCUAGCAGGAUCCACUGCUGAAGCUUAAGAUUUCCUGGCCACCUAAAUGCAAGCUAUCACACUGUAACUGGUCUGCAAUUUUGGCAGCAUCUGGAUUUGUUUAAAAUAUUACUGUAUUACACACAGUGGUGUACUCUGUGUAUUGUUUUAAUGUAUUUAUGUAACUCAAUGGUUCCUGUAUAAAUAAUAUAUGCUAAUGUAAAAUAAAAUUAAAAAAAAAAAAAUC